rnacentral:tRNA from 1 species
GCCAUGAUGCCCGAGUGGUCUAAGGGGAAUGACUUAAGAUCAUUUGAACGUCUGUUCGCGUGGGUUCAAACCCCACUCAUGGCA